UACGAAGGGGGCAAGCGUUGUUCGGAAUUACUGGGCGUAAAGGGUGCGUAGGCGGCUUUUUAAGUCAGUGGUGGAAUCCUGCAGCUUAACUGUAGAACAGCCAUUGAUACUGAAGAGCUUGAGUACAGACGAGGUAGGCGGAAUUUAUGGUGUAGCGGUGAAAUGCAUAGAUACCAUAAAGAACCCCUAUUGCGAAGGCAGCUUACUAGGCUGUAACUGACGCUGAGGCACGAAAGCGUGGGGAUCAAACAGGAUUAGAUACCCGAGUAGU
rnacentral:rRNA from 1 species